rnacentral:rRNA from 1 species
UUGCUGGAACGCGCCCCAGGCGCACCCAGAAACCCUUUGUGAACUUAUACCUUUUGUUGCCUCGGCGCAUGCUGGUCUCUAGUAGGCCCCUCACCCCGGUGAGGAGACGGCACGCCGGCGGCCAAAACAACUCUGUUUUUACACUGAAACUCUGAGAAAAAACACAAAUGAAUCAAAACUUUCAACAACGGAUCUCUUGGUUCUGGCAUCGAUGAAGAACGCAGCGAAAUGCGAUAAGUAAUGUGAAUUGCAGAAUUCAGUGAAUCAUCGAAUCUUUGAACGCACAUUGCGCCCUCUGGUAUUCCGGAGGGCAUGCCUGUUCGAGCGUCAUUUCAACCCUCAAGCAUUGCUUGGUGUUGGGGCACUGCUUUUAACGAAGCAGGCCCUGAAAUCUAGUGGCGAGCUCGCCAGGACCCCGAGCGCAGUAGUUAAACCCUCGCUCUGGAAGGCCCUGGCGGUGCCCUGCCGUUAAACCCCCAACUUUUGAAAAUUUGACCUCGGAUCAGGUAGGAAUACCCGCUGAACUUAAGCAUAUCAAUAAGCGGAGGAAAAGAAACCAACAGGGAUUGCCCUAGUAACGGCGAGUGAAGCGGCAACAGCUCAAAUUUGAAAUCUGGCCUCGGCCCGAGUUGU